GACGAACCGUGCGAACGUUGUUCGGAAUCACUGGGCUUAAAGAGCGCGUAGGCGGGUUCGCAAGUCUGUGGUGAAAGCCUCCAGCUUAACUGGAGAAGUGCCGUGGAUACUGCGAAUCUUGAGGAGGGUAGGGGCAUCUGGAACGGUCGGUGGAGCGGUGAAAUGCGUUGAUAUCGACCGGAACUCCGGUGGCGAAGGCGAGGUGCUGGACCCUUUCUGACGCUGAGGCGCGAAAGCCAGGGGAGCAAACGGG
rnacentral:rRNA from 1 species